CAAAGAAUAGUUUAAUAAAAUAAUAAUUUUGGAGAUUAUAGAUAAGAAUAAAUUCUUUUCUUUGA
rnacentral:tRNA from 1 species